CUCGUAGGUGGUUGGUCACGUCUGCUGUGGAAACGCAACGCUUAACGUUGCGCGUGCAGUGGGUACGGGCUGACUAGAGUGCAGUAGGGGAGUCUGGAAUUCCUGGUGUAGCGGUGAAAUGCGCAGAUAUCAGGAGGAACACCGGUGGCGAAGGCGGGACUCUGGGCUGUAACUGACACUGAGGAGCGAAAGCAUGGGGAGCGAACA
rnacentral:rRNA from 1 species